rnacentral:rRNA from 1 species
CAGCAGCCCGGUAAUACCGAGGGUGCGAGCGUUAAUCGGAUUUACUGGGCGUAAAGCGUGCGUAGGCGGCUUCUUAAGUCGGAUGUGAAAUCCCUGAGCUUAACUUAGGAAUUGCAUUCGAUACUGGGAAGCUAGAGUAUGGGAGAGGAUGGUAGAAUUCCAGGUGUAGCGGUGAAAUGCGUAGAGAUCUGGAGGAAUACCGAUGGCGAAGGCAGCCAUCUGGCCUAAUACUGACGCUGAGGUACGAAAGCAUGGGGAGCAAACAGGAUUAGAUACCCCUGUAGUCCCUGUCUCUUAUACA